rnacentral:sRNA from 2 species
AACGCGACUACUCCGAACAUAGAUUACGGUGGGGGAACCGAAUCGCAACUGGGGUGAAUCUUCCGUCAGGAAGCAGGGACGCUUGGAGUCCCGAACCCGUCAGCUAACCUCAUAGGAGCGAUCCAAGCGUGUGA